rnacentral:rRNA from 1 species
UACGGAGGGAGCUAGCGUUGUUCGGAAUUACUGGGCGUAAAGCGCACGUAGGCGGCUUUGCAAGUUAGAGGUGAAAGCCCGGGGCUCAACCCCGGAAUCGCCUUUAAGACUGCAUCGCUUGAAUCCAGGAGAGGUGAGUGGAAUUCCGAGUGUAGAGGUGAAAUUCGUAGAUAUUCGGAAGAACACCAGUGGCGAAGGCGGCUCACUGGACUGGUAUUGACGCUGAGGUGCGAAAGCGUGGGGAGCAAACAGGAUUAGAAACCCCCGUAGUCC